rnacentral:pre_miRNA from 1 species
AUGCUACUCCCUCCGUUUCGAAUUACUUGUCGUAGGUAUGGAUGUAUCUAGAUAUAUUUUAGUUAUAGAUAUAUCCAAUUCUGUGACAAGUAAUUUGGAAUGGAGGGAAUAGAAC